AACGAACGCUGGCGGCAGGCCUAACACAUGCAAGUCGAACGGGCGUAGCAAUACGUCAGUGGCAGACGGGUGAGUAACGCGUGGGAACGUACCUUUUGGUUCGGAACAACCCAGGGAAACUUGGGCUAAUACCGGAUAAGCCCUUACGGGGAAAGAUUUAUCGCCGAAAGAUCGGCCCGCGUCUGAUUAGCUAGUUGGUGUGGUAACGGCGCACCAAGGCGACGAUCAGUAGCUGGUCUGAGAGGAUGAUCAGCCACAUUGGGACUGAGACACGGCCCAAACUCCUACGGGAGGCAGCAGUGGGGAAUAUUGGACAAUGGGCGCAAGCCUGAUCCAGCCAUGCCGCGUGAGUGAUGAAGGCCCUAGGGUUGUAAAGCUCUUUUACCGGGAACGAUAAUGACUGUACGGGAGAAUAAGCCCGGCUAACUUCGUGCCAGCAGCCGCCGCAGUAA
rnacentral:rRNA from 1 species